UACGGAGGGUGCAAGCGUUAUCCGGAUUCACUGGGUUUAAAGGGUGCGUAGGUGGGCAGGUAAGUCAGUGGUGAAAUCCUGUAGCUUAACUACAGAACUGCCAUUGAUACUAUCUGUCUUGAAUACCCUGGAGGUGAGCGGAAUAUGUCAUGUAGCGGUGAAAUGCUUAGAUAUGACAUAGAACACCCAUUGCGAAGGCAGCUCACUACGGGAAUAUUGACGCUGAGGCACGAAAGCGUGGGGAUCAAACAGG
rnacentral:rRNA from 1 species